rnacentral:rRNA from 1 species
AUUGAACGCUGGCGGCAUGCCUUACACAUGCAAGUCGAACGGCAGCACGGGAGCAAUCCUGGUGGCGAGUGGCGAACGGGUGAGUAAUAUAUCGGAACGUGCCCAGUCGUGGGGGAUAACGUAGCGAAAGCUACGCUAAUACCGCAUACGAUCUACGGAUGAAAGCGGGGGAUCGCAAGACCUCGCGCGAUUGGAGCGGCCGAUAUCAGAUUAGCUAGUUGGUGGGGUAAAAGCUCACCAAGGCGACGAUCUGUAGCUGGUCUGAGAGGACGACCAGCCACACUGGAACUGAGACACGGUCCAGACUCCUACGGGAGGCAGCAGUGGGGAAUUUUGGACAAUGGGCGCAAGCCUGAUCCAGCAAUGCCGCGUGCAGGAUGAAGGCC